GGGGCUGUGGGGUAGUUUGGUCCAUCCUUUCUGGUUUGGGCCCUAAAGGUUUGAGGAAUUCGAAUCCGGGCAGCCCCA
rnacentral:tRNA from 1 species